rnacentral:rRNA from 1 species
UGAAUACGAGAUGCUACGGCGUCGAAGCAGUCUAUGUCAUACUUCCAAGAAAAGCUUGCACUGUCAUAAACAAAUAAUGCCUGUACCAUAACCGACACAGGUGGGUAGGUAGAGUAUACUAAGGGGCGCGAGAUAACUCUCUCUAAGGAACUCGGCAAAACGACUCCGUAACUUCGGGAGAAGGAGUGCCUUAUUUUAUAAGGUUGCAAUAACAAGAUCCAAGCAACUGUUUACCAAAAACACAGGUCUCCGCUAAGUCGUAAGACGAUGUAUGGGGGCUGACGCCUGCCCAGUGCCAGAAGGUUAAAGAAGUUGGUUAGCAUCCGCGAAGCUGAUAACUGAAGCCCUGGUGAACGGCGGCCGUAACUAUAACGGACCUAAGGUAGCGAAAUUCCUUGUCGGGUAAGUUCCGACCCGCACGAAAGGCGAAAUGAUUUGGAUACUGUCUCAGAGAGGGGCUCGGUGAAAUAGACUUGUCUGUGAAGAUGCGGACUACCUGCACCAGGACAGAAAGACCCUAUGAAGCUUUACUGUAACUUGAAAUUGAAAUUGGACUUUACUUGCGCAGUAUAGGUGGGAGGCGUUGAUAAUAUUCUUGCGGGAAUGUUGGAGCCAUCAGUGAGAUACCACUCUUGUAAUGUUAGAUUUCUAACUUUGUAUCAUUAUCUGGUCAAAGGACAGUUUCAGGCGGGCAGUUUGACUGGGGCGGUCGCCUCCCAAACGGUAACGGAGGCGCACAAAGGUUUCCUCUGAACGGGUAGAAAUCGUAUCUAGAGUGUAAAGGCAUAAGGAAGCUUGACUGUGAGACCUACAAGUCGAGCAGGGACGAAAGUCGGUCUUAGUGAUCUGACGGUGCUGAGUGGAAAGGCCGUCACUCAACGGAUAAAAGUUACUCUAAGGACAACAGGCUGAUCUCCCCCAAGAGUUCACAUCGACGGGGAGGUUUGGCACCUCGAUGUCGGCUCAUCGCAUCCUGGGGCGGUAGUACGUCCCAAGGGUUGGGCUGUUCGCCCAUGAAAGCGGUACGCGAGCUGGGUUCAGAACGUCGUGAGACAGUUCGGUCCAUAUCCGGUGUAGGCGUUAGAAUAUUGAGAGGAGCCUUCUUUAGUACGAGAGGACCGAGAAGGACAUACCUCUGGUGUACCAGUUAUCGUGCCAACGGUAAACGCUGGGUAGCUAUGUAUGGAGUGGAUAACCGCUGAAAGCAUCUAAGUGGGAAGCCCACCUCAAGAUAAGUAUUCU